CCUCCCCCUAGAGGCACUGUAGGUAUGGCUGCUGUGUCACAUGUUUGUUAAUAGGUGGCAGAGAGGCAAAAGGCUACAUCUAUGCCCAGUGUUCUCACCUGUGAACAUCUGAAUGAUUAAGUAACCCAACAUU